rnacentral:rRNA from 1 species
GACGAACGCUGGCGGCGUGCCUAAUACAUGCAAGUCGAACGCAGUUGGGACGGGUGAGUAACACGUGGGUAACCUCCCAUCAGAGGGGAUAACACUUGGAAACAGGUGCUAAACCGAUACUGAUGGAUGGACCCGCGGUGCAUUAGCUAGUUGGUGAGGUAACGGCUCACCACGGCCACGAUGCAUAGCGUACCUGAGAGGGGGAUCGGCCACACUGGGACGGAGACACGGCCCAGAAGCCGACGGGAGGCAGCAUUAGGGAAUCUUCGGCGAUGGACGAAAGUCUGACCGAGCAACGCCGCGUGAGUGAAGAAGGUGUUCGGAUCGUAAAACUCUGUUGUUAGAGAAGCGGUAUCUAACCAGAAAGCCACGGAUAACUACGUGCUAGCAGCCGCGGUAAUAC